UAUGGCCAUAUCACAGUGAAACACCAGUUCUCAUGCUAUCACUAAUGUUAAACAAUGUCGAGCCUGGUCAGUACCUAGAUAGGUGACCACUUGGGAAUACCAGGUGCU